rnacentral:rRNA from 1 species
CGAGGGUGCAAGCGUUAUCCGGAUUCACUGGGUUUAAAGGGUGCGUAGGAGGGCAGGUAAGUCAGUGGUGAAAUCUCCGAGCUUAACUUGGAAACUGCCAUUGAUACUAUCUGUCUUGAAUAUUGUGGAGGUGAGCGGAAUAUGUCAUGUAGCGGUGAAAUGCUUAGAUAUGACAUAGAACACCAAUUGCGAAGGCAGCUCGCUACACAAAUAUUGACUCUGAGGCACGAAAGCGUGGGGAUCAAACAGGAUUAGAUACCCUGGUAGUCCACGCCCUAAACUAUGGAUACUCGACAUACGCGAUAAACUGUGUGUGUCUGAGCGAAAGCAUUAAGUAUCCCACCUGGGAAGUACGACCGCAAGGUUG